rnacentral:rRNA from 1 species
AUUGAACGCUGGCGGCACGCCUAACACAUGCAAGUCGAGCGGCAGCGAGAUCAGUAGCAAUACUGAUUGUCGGCGAGCGGCGGACGGGUGAGUAAUACGUAGGAACCUGCCCAGAAGUGGGGGAUAACUAAUGGAAACGUUAGCAAAUACCGCAUACAUUCGGGAGAAGAAAGCAGCAGGUAACGGUGGCGCUGUUGGAGCGGCCUGGGUCCGAUUAGCGAGUUGGUGAGGUAAUGGCUCACCAAGGCGAUGAUCGGUAACUGGACUGAGAGGACGACCAGUCACACUGGGACUGAGACACGGCCCAGACUCCUACGGGAGGCAGCAGUGGGGAAUCUUGGACAAUGGGGGCAACCCUGAUCCAGCGAUGCCGCGUGAGUGAAGAAGGCCCUCGGGUCGUAAAGCUCUUUAGGCUGGGAAGAAGUGUGGAAGAGGAAAUGCUUUUACAUUGACGGUACCAGCAGAAUAAGCACCGGCAAACUCUGUGCCAGCAGCCGCCGUAA